GACGAACCGAGCGAACGUUGUUCGGAAUCACUGGGCUUAAAGGGCGCGUAGGCGGGCCGGCCAGUCUGUGGUGAAAGCCCCCAGCUCAACUGGGGAAGUGCCGUGGAUACUGCCGGCCUGGAGGAGGGUAGGGGCAUCUGGAACGCUGGGUGGAGCGGUGAAAUGCGUUGAUAUCCAGCGGAACUCCGGUGGCGAAGGCGAGGUGCUGGACCCGUUCUGACGCUGAGUGCGCGAAAGCCAGGGGAGCAAACGGG
rnacentral:rRNA from 1 species